rnacentral:hammerhead_ribozyme from 1 species
AUCCAGAUGACGAGUCCCAAACAGGACGAAAUGCGCAUCAUGGAU